GGGGUGGGUGUGGGGGGGAGGGGUGGGGUGAUGAAAGAGUCGAUAAAAUGCAUUAGAUAAACACGGUGAUGCAAAAUAAAAAGGAUAUACAAACUACUUCAUGAACGUUCCUAAAUAACAAAACCACUAAAUUAGUACUAAGACUGACUUCUCAUAAAAAGCUCCUCUACAAAAUCUCAAAACUCUGAACAUUACAGUUGAUACUGCGUAUACCGAAUAAAGAAAGCGGGAAAAAUAUAAUAAAAACAAAGAACUUAAUUCAAUUCUAGACAUUCCAUCUCCAAGAAAGGCGCAAGCAUUCUUCACAUGAGCGAUUUAAUAUGUAUCACACAACCCACAUCGA
rnacentral:misc_RNA from 1 species